rnacentral:misc_RNA from 1 species
ACGAGAAGUAUCACAUCACGCCAA